CCUACGGGUGCAGCAGUGAGGAAUAUUGGUCAAUGGCCGAGAGGCUGAACCAGCCAAGUCGCGUGAGGGAAGAAUGUCCUAUGGAUCGUAAACCUCUUUUGUCAGGGAGCAAAGUCACCCACGUGUGGGAGUUGGAGAGUACCUGAAGAAAAAGCAUCGGCUAAUUCCGUGCAAGCAGCCGCGGUAUUACGGGGGAUGCAAGCGUUAUCCGGGUCUAUGGGGUUAAAGGGGUGCGUAGGCGGGUUAUCAAGUCAGCGGUAAAAUCGUGGAGCUCAACUCCAUCCAGCCGUUGAAACUGAGGGUCUUGAGUGGGCGAGAGGCAGGCGGAAUGCGUGGUGUAGCGGUGAAAUGCAUAGAUAUCACGCAGAACUCCGAUUGCGAAGGCAGCAUGCCGGCGCCCAACUGACGCUGAAGCACGAAAGCGUGGGUAGCGAACAGGAUUAGAUACCCUUGUAGUC
rnacentral:rRNA from 1 species